UACACUAGAUAAGCUCAAUAACUUAUCUAGUUAGAUUUAGGAUUAGAUCGUAUCUUUUUCCUUUCGUUAUAAAUAGGAUUCAAGUCUUUGUAUCAACAUCAUUGAUUUGAAAGUAAUAAAGAAAACUCGUAGCCUUUGCUACAAAAGAGCUUGUGUUUCAAGCCCUGAGAGGAGGACUCUCGCAUCGAUUCCGUCUCGCCAUCACUCCAUCUUCAUUGAUCCAUCUCUCUCUCUUUCACGAACCCAUCGGUUUCGUUCUCCGUUUAUACCACACGUGCUCUGUUUUUGUGUCUAA